rnacentral:rRNA from 1 species
GCCGCGGUAAUACAUAGGGUGCGAGCGUUGUUCGGAAUUACUGGGCGUAAAGGGCGCGCAGGCGGAAUAGUAAGUCGGAGGUGAAAGCCCGGGGCUCAACCCCGGAGGGUCUUUCGAAACUACUAAUCUAGAGAGGGUCAGGGGCCAGCAGAAUUCCUGGUGUAGAGGUGAAAUUCGUAGAUAUCAGGAGGAAUACCGGUGGCGAAGGCGGCCGGCUGGGGCCACUCUGACGCUGAGGCGCGAAAGCGUGGGGAGCAAACAGGAUUAGAUACCCUGGUAGUCCACGCCGUAAACGAUGAGCACUGGACGUCCGGAGGGUUCGACCCUUCUGGGUGUCUCAGCUAACGCAUUAAGUGCUCCGCCUGGGGAGUACGGUCGCAAGACUAAAACUCAAAGGAAUUGGCGGGGGAGCACGGUCAUACUUGUUUCCUGA